CUGGCUGGUGAUCGAAGAAAGGCAACACAGAAACUCUCCUGUGCUUUCUUGGCCACUUAACCCAGAAACGAUAACACUCUCACCCCCAUUUAUUGGUAAUAUCCAGUCCCAAGGCUUCACCACAAUGUUAUGGAUAUAAUGAAAUGUGGCUCCUGGAAAGACAGCUGUUUCUCAGAUAAAUUUUCACACUCUUAAAGCUCAGAUCACUUUCAGUAAUUGACAGAAUGCGAAUGGUUUUCAAAGUGCCGUCUGGGAUCCAGGCACCUAAGCAACAAGAUGACCUGCGAACUUACUGAAAAUGCAAAUUCUCAGGACUUGGCCCCAGACCAGCUGCAGAGCCUCACCACAUGUGUUAAGCCUGGGACUUCAAUAGCCAAUCAGGAUUUUUCAGGAAGUAGAUGAGGGGGAUUGAGAUCCUGUGGAUGAGGUCAUGCUGGUGAGGAAGAUGACAAAUAAAAAGAAAUAAAUAAAAUCUGCCCUUACUAGUCCA